AUGCUUUUAAAAUGUUCCUACUUAGUACUGUAUACUGUAAUUCUGUGUUUCCAUUUCUUUUAGCAGCUGGAAUAACAGAAGAAUUUUUGCUGUGAUGUCCUCCAGUCGUCCUCUGCUGAAAUCUAAGCAAUCGUGCUGAGGUGCAGAAGACAAAAGGUCAAGUGCUCCUUUGCAUUCAUGCUGAUGUGUGUAAAUCAACAGAACUGUGCUCAGUUUUCCCAGGAGACUGACUUUGAGUGCACAGCAUUCAGAAAGGGGCAGUGCAUGUACUUGGCUGCACAGAAAGUGGAGGGAGAUGGUCACGUGUUCAUCAGUCAGUUUGCAAAGAAGAUUGCAUGCCAGGCCAAGGCCAUGUGAUGUAAUUCUUGGGUAUGACAUCUCCUCGUCAGUCAUAGAUGUGAGUAGAGUGAGUAGACAACCAUAUUCUUUUUAGUUUCUCCACCUUGAAGGGAGAAUAUCAGCAUCAUUUGAGUUACUUUUGAUACAAGUAUG
rnacentral:lncRNA from 1 species